UACGUAGGGCGCGAGCGUUGUCCGGAAUUAUUGGGCGUAAAGAGCUCGUAGGCGGCUGGUUGCGUCUGCUGUGAAAUCCCGGGGCUUAACCCCGGGCGUGCAGUGGAUACGGGCCGGCUGGAGGCAGGCAGGGGAGAAUGGAAUUCCCGGUGUAGCGGUGAAAUGCGCAGAUAUCGGGAGGAACACCGGUGGCGAAGGCGGUUCUCAGGGCCUGUACUGACGCUGAGGAGCGAAAGCGUGGGGAGCGAACAGG
rnacentral:rRNA from 1 species